rnacentral:rRNA from 1 species
ACUUAAAUUGAAGAGUUUGAUCAUGGCUCAGAUUGAACGCUGGCGGCAGGCCUAACACAUGCAAGUCGAACGGUAGCACAGAGAGCUUGCUCUCGGGUGACGAGUGGCGGACGGGUGAGUAAUGUCUGGGAAACUGCCUGAUGGAGGGGGAUAACUACUGGAAACGGUGGCUAAUACCGCAUAACGUCGCAAGACCAAAGAGGGGGACCUUCGGGCCUCUUGCCAUCAGAUGUGCCCAGAUGGGAUUAGCUGGUUGGUGAGGUAACGGCUCACCAAGGCGACGAUCCCUAGCUGGUCUGAGAGGAUGACCAGCCACACUGGAACUGAGACACGGUCCAGACUCCUACGGGAGGCAGCAGUGGGGAAUAUUGCACAAUGGGCGCAAGCCUGAUGCAGCCAUGCCGCGUGUAUGAAGAAGGCCUUCGGGUUGUAAAGUACUUUCAGCGGGGAGGAAGGUGUUGUGGUUAAUAACCGCAGCAAUUGACGUUACCCGCAGAAGAAGCACCGGCUAACUCCGUGCCAGCAGCCGCGGUAAUACGGAGGGUGCAAGCGUUAAUCGGAAUUACUGGG